rnacentral:rRNA from 1 species
AGAGUUUGAUUCUGGCUCAGAACGAACGCUGGCGGCAUGCCUAAUACAUGCAAGUCGAACGGAGAUAGCAAUAUCUUAGUGGCGAACGGGUGCGUAACACGUGAGCAACCUGCCUUAUACAUCGGAAUAACAGCUGGAAACGGCUGCUAAUACCGGAUAAGACCACACCAAGGCAUCUUGGAGAGGUCAAAGCGAAUUAGCGGUAUAAGAUGGGCUCGCGUCCAAUUAGCUAGUUGGUGGGGUAACGGCCCACCAAGGCAACGACUGGUAGCCGACUUGAGAGAGUGAUCGGCCACACUGGAACUGAGACACGGUCCAGACUCCUACGGGAGGCAGCAGUAGGGAAUAUUGGGCAAUGGAGGAAACUUCCUUACCCAGCAAUGCCGCGUGAAUGAUGAAGGUCUUAUGGAUUGUAAAGUUCUUUAAUUGGGGGCGAAAGAAAUGACGGUACCCAAAGAAUAAGCCCCGGCUAACUAUGUGCCAGCCGCAGC